AGUGAACGCUGGCGGUAGGCCUAACACAUGCAAGUCGAACGGCAGCACAGUAAGAGCUUGCUCUUACGGGUGGCGAGUGGCGGACGGGGGAGGAAUACAUCGGAAUCUACUUUUUCGUGGGGGAUAACGUAGGGAAACUUACGCUAAUACCGCAUACGACCUACGGGUGAAAGCAGGGGAUCUUCGGACCUUGCGCGAUUGAAUGAGCCGAUGUCGGAUUAGCUAGUUGGCGGGGUAAAGGCCCACCAAGGCGACGAUCCGUAGCUGGUCUGAGAGGAUGAUCAGCCACACUGGAACUGAGACACGGUCCAGACUCCUACGGGAGGCAGCAGUGGGGAAUAUUGGACAAUGGGCGCAAGCCUGAUCCAGCCAUACCGCGUGGGUGAAGAAGGCCUUCGGGUUGUAAAGCCCUUUUGUUGGGGAAGAAAAGCAGCAGGUUAAUACCCCGCUGUUCUGACGGUACCCAAAGAAUAAGCACCGGCUAACUUCGUG
rnacentral:rRNA from 1 species